rnacentral:rRNA from 1 species
UACGAAGGGGGCAAGCGUUGUUCGGAAUUACUGGGCGUAAAGGGCGCGUAGGCGGCCGAUCAAGUCAGGCGUGAAAUUCCCGGGCUCAACCUGGGGGCUGCGCUUGAUACUGAUUGGCUUGAAUGCGGGAGAGGAUAGUGGAAUUCCCAGUGUAGAGGUGAAAUUCGUAGAUAUUCGGAAGAACACCAGUGGCGAAGGCGACUCGCUGGACAAGUAUUGACGCUGAGGUGCGAAAGCGUGGGGAGCAAACAGG